UAGGGAAUCUUCGGCAAUGGGGGCAACCCUGACCGAGCAACGCCGCGUGAGUGAAGAAGGUUUUCGGGUCGUAAAGCUCUGUUGUAAGAGAAGAACGUGUGUGAGAGUGGAAAGUUCACACAGUGACGGUAACUUACCAGAAAGGGACGGCUAACUACGUGUCAG
rnacentral:rRNA from 1 species